GUGAAUCAUCGAAUCUUUGAACGCAUAUUGCACCAUUUGGUAUUCCGGAGAGUAUGCCUAUUUGAGGGUCAUUUGAAAUAAUAUAACUUUCGUUAUUUUCUUGAAUUCAUAAAUGGGUCGGUCCAGCUUUCGUGUGGUGGUCGCCUAAAAUGCAAGACAAGCUCAUUUCUUGGGUUGCGUGAUACUUUCUGUUACCUCUUGACUUCACAAGAAAUUUUCGAGCGUGUUAAGAAUUGUGCAAGAAAUAAUGUUCAUUUAU
rnacentral:misc_RNA from 1 species